ACACAUGCAGUCGAACGGAGAAUCAGCAAUGGUUCUUAGUGGCGAACGGGUGAGUAACGCGUGGACAACCUGCCUCAAAGAUGGGGACAACACCGCGAAAGUGGUGCUAAUACCGAAUGUUGCAUUGGAUUCGCAUGAAUCUGAUACUAAAGGUGGCCUCUUUAAAUGCUACCGCUUUGAGAUGGGUCUGCGUCUGAUUAGCUAGUUGGUGAGGUAACAGCUCACCAAGGCGAUGAUCAGUAGCCGGUCUGAGAGGAUGAACGGCCACACUGGGACUGAGACACGGCCCAGACUCCUACGGGAGGCAGCAGUGGGGAAUCUUCCGCAAUGGACGAAAGUCUGACGGAGCAACGCCGCGUGAGUGAAGAAGGUUUUCGGAUCGUAAAGCUCUGUCUUUGAGGACGAAUGUGCUUAAUGUAAAUAAUGUUAAGUAAUGACGGUACUCGAGGAGGAAGCCACGGCUAUCUACGUGCCAGCAGCCGCGGUAAUACGUAGGUGGCAAGCGUUGUCCGGAAUUAUUGGGCGUAAAGCGCGCGCAGGCGGGAUAUUAAGUCUGUCUUAAAAGUUCGGGGCUCAACCCCGUGAUGGGAUGGAAACUAAUAUUCUUGAGUGCAGGAGAGGAAAGUGGAAUUCCCAGUGUAGCGGUGAAAUGCGUAGAUAUUGGGAGGAACACCAGUGGCGAAGGCGACUUUCUGGACUGUGUCUGACGCUGAGGCGCGAAAGCCAGGGGAGUGAACGGGAUUAGAUACCCCGGUAAUCCUGGCCGUAAACGAUGGGUACUAGGUGUAGGAGGUAUCGACCCCUUCUGUGCCGGAGUUAACGCAAUAAGUACCCCGCCUGGGGAGUACGGCCACAAGGUUGAAACUCAAAGGAAUUGACGGGGGCCCGCACAAGCGGUGGAGUAUGUGGUUUAAUCGACGCAACGCGAAGAACCUUACCAAGGACUUGACAUCGAUUUGAAAGUC
rnacentral:rRNA from 1 species